ensembl:misc_RNA Y_RNA Y RNA
GGCUGCUCCAAUGGUGGUGAGUAAUCUCACUUGAUGGUUCAGCUACAGAUCAAACUCCUUGUUCUAUUGUUUCUCCUUUCCUUACUUCUACACUUGACUAAUCUUUU